rnacentral:rRNA from 1 species
GUGUCAGCCGCCGCGGUAAUACAGAGGGGGCAAGCGUUGUUCGGAAUUACUGGGCGUAAAGGGCGCGUAGGCGGCCCGUUAAGUCGAACGUGAAAUCCCCAGGCUCAACCUGGGAACUGCGUCCGAUACUGGCGGGCUUGAAUCCGGGAGAGGGAUGCGGAAUUCCAGGUGUAGCGGUGAAAUGCGUAGAUAUCUGGAGGAACACCGGUGGCGAAGGCGGCAUCCUGGACCGGCAUUGACGCUGAGGCGCGAAAGCCAGGGGAGCAAACGGGAUUAGAUACCCUCGUAGUCC